rnacentral:rRNA from 1 species
UACGUAGGCAGCGAGCGUUGUUCGGAAUUACUGGGCGUAAAGAGUGUGUAGGCGGUGCUCUAAGUUCGGUGUGAAAUCUCCUGGCUCAACUGGGAGGGUGCGCCGGAAACUGGAGUGCUUGAGCGUGGGAGAGGAAAGCGGAAUUCCUGGUGUAGCGGUGAAAUGCGUAGAUAUCAGGAGGAACACCAAUUGCGAAGGCAGCUCGCUGGGACGUAACUGACGCUGAGACGCGAAAGCGUGGGGAGCAAACAGG